AGGACAACUCCUCUACGUACAAAAAGUCUCAUUAAAUCUCCACUUAACAACUGGAUUUGAAGAUGAACCUCAACAGGAACCAAAUCAAACAAAUAAGUUAUUUAGAUCUUUCUGUUUUGAAUAUUUAAUAUUUAACUGUGAAAGGUUGACAAAACACAUGUUUUAGUGCAGUUCACUUGAGUAAGUAGUGGGGAAAAUAAUGAUAAACACAUAAAGUUUUAAUUACAUUUAGAGUUCAGUAAAUAAGAAGGGCUAUGGGGACUUUUAUAGGGAAAAAACAGUACUUCAUUAAGUGUUACAUUGUCAUACAGAAUGUGCAUACGAUAUCCUAACAGAAAACUAAUGAGCUCAAGAGGCAGAUCAUGUAUUGUCAUUACACUGUCUGGUUGUUGCAAGAGGAAACAGUGAGGUAAAAUAAAACUCUGGUGAAUGCCGGAUUAAAAACUCAAAUAGGAAAAGCACAGUAGCAACUGCCUUCACGAUGCAAGAGGAAACACAGCCUUUCAGUUAAGGUCAAAUAAACUCUGGUGAAUGCUAGAUUAAAAACUCAAUAAAAACAAAGGAUAGUAAUAUUUUUCAAGUUGAAGUUUCAGAUCUGCUGUAUGUUUUGUUUAGUUUUUUUGUCAUUUAUGUUAUGUUCUCUGCCUGGAUGUUGCAAGAGGAAUCAUCUUCUGGGAAAAAAAAGAAGAAAAAAGAAAAAGAAAAACAGAGAUGUUCACUGCCCUUAUGUUGUGAAAAGAAACACUGUCAGGUAAAAUAUAAAUGUGGUAACAAAAACAAAACAAAAGGAAAACAAUCACAGGUGAGUAAUAGAACAUCUGUUGUACAACCUGAAGUUUGGUUUGAUACUAAAACUUUUCUCAUUCACUAAAUGUCAACUGCUAGGAUGUUGCAAGAGGAGAUUCACUUAACUUAUUUUUUUAAUUAUCAUUUACUUAAAGUUUUAAGGCAACGGGUUUCCUCAAUUUUUUUAAGUUAAGUCAACUUAGCACUUUUUACAGUGUGUCUUUCAGAAUCUUUGUUACAAACCUCUUUAAAGAAAUUACACUAUUUAUACAUGUAGUUGUUUAUAGGCUACAGUAAAAAAAAAAAAAGAAUAAAGUAGAUAUUAACAGAAUUUUUGUAAUCAUUUAUGUAACCAUUUAUUUCUAAAAGUGGUGUUAUGUUUUUGACUUACAUUUCCAUUUUUAGGUGACACUUCUGUAUCAAUCUGUAUUAAACAUGCCUGUAAAACUGUGCUGAAGCUUUUAGCGG